rnacentral:rRNA from 1 species
GCACCGGCUAACUCCGUGCCAGCAGCCGCGGUAAUACGAGGGUGCAAGCGUUAAUCGGAAUUACUGGGCGUAAAGCGCACGCAGGCGGUCUGUUAAGUCAGAUGUGAAAUCCCCGGGCUUAACCUGGGAACUGCAUUGAAACUGGCAGGCUUGAGUCUUGUAGAGGGGGUAGAAUUCCAGGUGUAGCGGUGAAAUGCGUAGAGAUCUGGAGGAAUACCGGUGGCGAAGGCGGCCCCCUGGACAAAGACUGACGCUCAGGUGCGAAAGCGUGGGGAGCAAACAGGAUUAGAUACCCUGGUAGUCCACGCCGUAAACGAUGUCGACUUGGAGGUUGUUCCCUUGAGGAGUGGCUUCCGGAGCUAACGCGUUAAGUCGACCGCCUGGGGAGUACGGCCGCA